GACGAGCCUGUAUUUCCAAGAAAAGAUGAUUUUGACAUACUAGGCUGGUGGAAGGCAAACAGUCCAAAAUUCUUAGCAAGAUGGCUCGUGAUAUUCUUGCAAUUCCAGCUACUACUGUGGCAUCGGAAUCAGCAUUUAGCGUUGGCGGAAGGGUAAUUGAUGAGACCCGUGCUGCUUUGCUUCCUGAUGUGGUCGAAGCUUUGAUAACAACUGGAGAUUGGUUACCUUUGAAAAAGAAAAGAAUAUUUGGAGAAGAUUUGGGUGAUUCUUCUAAAGUUCCCAAGUUAGGGUGAUGUAUUUGAAAAAUUGUGAAACAUGAGAGCCAUGAAGACUAUUGUAAUCUACAGGACUUCAUUAGUUGGUUGAUGUAUUUGGAAUUUAUGUUUGAUUGGACUUUUUAGAAAUUGUAAUUUGUUGGAUGUCAUAUUGGCUUUGUUGCUAAUAUUGGCUUUAUUGAAAUUGUAAUUUGUUGGAUGUUGGACUUUUUAAAUCCUUGUGUUUGUUGGAUUAGAUUAUAUGAAAUAGUUUGCUA